AAACGUCUCAGUUCGGACUGUGGUCUGCAACCCGACCACACGAAGCUGGAAUCGCUAGUAAUCGCGAAUCAGAAUGUCGCGGUGAAUACGUUCCCGGGUCUUGUACACACCGCCCGUCACACCAUGGGAGUCAGCAACGCCCGAAGUCAGUGACCUAACCGAAAGGGAGGAGCUGCCGAAGGCGGGGCCGGUAACUGGGGUGAAGUCGUAACAAGGUACC
rnacentral:rRNA from 1 species